GGAAGAAUCAAGGAUUGAAAAGGGGUUCAUAGAGCUGAAUCACCUCUCAAUGGAAAUGAAAGAGGAUAGCAAGAUAAUUGCCCUCCAACAGGUGCUAGUCGUAACGAAAUGUCCUAAAACAGGUGCUAAUUAUUCACUACACCAACACAGGUAUUUAAAGCACGGCAAGCACAGAUUCACCAACACAGGUAUUUAAAGCACGGCAAGCGCAGAUUCAUGAACUGGCUUCUCGUGUCACAACUGACAAAGUAACCAUUGGAAAUAAAUCAAAGAAAUUUAGUUCAGCAUAAUUAUUCAGGAAUCCAACUGUUUCAUACAUCGAGAGUCAGUAUUGGAUGGGUUCCGACAGCAAAUCAAUUAACAAAUUGGUUGGUGGGGCUUCAUUUCAGGAAAACUGAUUGAGAAAACUUUCAUGACCAGAGGAAGUUCUUUUUUCCGUAUGCAGUAACUCUACCAGCAAGUAAUCAAGGGAAUUGAUCCACAAAAUAAAUGCACCAGAUUAGCUAUACCACACAUCAAUUCAAGUAUGGAACCCUAAAUUUUAGUAAAGCAUCAAAAACUGAAGCACAACAGAGCAAUGGUAGAUACUGAAAACUGGGAAGAACA
rnacentral:lncRNA from 1 species